UAGCUUUGUCCUAAGUCAAACUUUAUAAUGUUUGACCAAGCUUAUAAAAAAACAAUAUGAACAUUUACAUUAACAAAUAUAUAUGAUGUGAAAAUAUAUUCAAUGAUGAAUCUAACGGUACUAAUUUGGUAUUGUAGAUGUUAAUAAUUUUUCUAUAAACCUGGUCAAAACAAGGUUUGACUUGAGACAAAAGCUA
rnacentral:pre_miRNA from 1 species